rnacentral:rRNA from 1 species
CGGCGUGCUUAACACAUGCAAGUCGAACGGUGAAGCAGAGCUUGCUCUGUGGAUCAGUGGCGAACGGGUGAGUAACACGUGAGUAACCUGCCCUUGACUCUGGGAUAAGCGUUGGAAACGACGUCUAAUACCGGAUACGAGCCUCAGCCGCAUGGCUAGGGGUUGGAAAGAUUUUUUGGUCAAGGAUGGACUCGCGGCCUAUCAGCUUGUUGGUGAGGUAAUGGCUCACCAAGGCGACGACGGGUAGCCGGCCUGAGAGGGUGACCGGCCACACUGGGACUGAGACACGGCCCAGACUCCUACGGGAGGCAGCAGUGGGGAAUAUUGCACAAUGGGCGCAAGCCUGAUGCAGCAACGCCGCGUGAGGGAUGACGGCCUUCGGGUUGUAAACCUCUUUUAGUAGGGAAGAAGCGAAAGUGACGGUACCUGCAG